rnacentral:tRNA from 1 species
CGUCUAGAGGCCCAGGACACCGCCCUUUCACGGCGGUAACAGGGGUUCGAAUCCCCCA